UUAUGUAUUAACUACUAUAUGUCCUUUUCACAACCAGUUAUUCAGGAGUUUUUACACCCAACUCCUCAACAACGAGUAGUAUAUAUUUACAUCAUAGACAAUUACUAAUCACAUUAUUGAGUUCUAUUACAGUGACUGCGCCAUCAUUGGCGUAACCCAGGUGCCAUUGAGCAUCUUCGGGCCCUGCUGACUAAAUUCUGGAGCUGGGACAUCCAUAUUUGCCCUACGCCAAGAAUUAUUAACAUCCUGAACUAGUCAUUAAUUUCUGUACAAUGACUUGUUCCCACCUCAUCCAGUGGGACAAGAAUUUACAACCGACCCAACGUGUAAGCUAUAUUCACCAACCAAAGUAAGCUAUAUUCACAUUCAGGCGAGCGCUUUGUACCACGGGCCGUGGACCUUCUCCGAGACCGUGGCCACCCUAAUGAGCACUUCGGCCGCCUUCACCACCCGGCCAGCGAGCUUCGCCGCGCCGACGCGGCGUAGAGCUGCGUCCGCCAGCUUCUGGCCCUUGGCACCGCUGCCCCCGAGAACGACGCCACGGAAGGCGCAGUGGACAGCCCGGGAGACCUUCUUGAAGACGACAUCGUCGGCUUGGAGGCUCUUGAGGAGCACUCGGGUUAUUAUCUGCCUCCUCGCCUGAGUCCUCGCGUCCGACAAAGAGCCGGCUGAGGCCGACGCGCUCAUCAUCGCCUCCACGAUCUCUUCGGUUCCUGCCUCCGGGGAGCUGUCCAGCAGCUUCACCAGGGCGCCGAAGAGUUCGGAGAUGACAGUCUCCAGCUCCAGAGGNNNNNNNNNNNNNNNNNNNNNNNNNNNNNNNNNNNNNNNNNNNNNNNNNNNNNNNNNNNNNNNNNNNNNNNNNNNNNNNNNNNNNNNNNNNNNNNNNNNNCAAUAUGGGCAUCCAGGUCCCGCUAUUGGAUAUUGACCGAGGAGUCUCUCGGGUCAUGUCUACAUAGUUCACGAACCCGCAGGGUCUGCACACUUAAGGUUCGACGUUGUUUUAUGCGUAUUUGAGUUAUAUGGUUGGUUACCGAAUGUUGUUCGGAGUCCCGGAUGAGAUCACGGACGUCACGAGGGUUUCCGGAAUAGUCAGGAAAAGAAGCUUGAUAUAUAGGAUGACCUCAUUUGAUUACAGGAAGGUUUUCGGAGUUACCGGGAAUGUACCGGGAAUGACGAAUGGGUUCCGGGAGUUCACCGGGGGGGCAACCCACCCCGGGGAAGCCCAUAGGCCUUGAGGGUGGCACACCAGCCCUUAGUGGGCUGGUGGGACAGCCCAAAAGGGCUCUAUGCGCCAAGAAGAGAAAAUCAAGAGAAAAGAAAAAAAAGGAGGAGGUGGGAAGGAAGGGGAACUCCCUCCCACCAAACCAAGUCCAACUCGGUUUGGGGGGGGAGUCCUCCCCCCUUGGACUCGGCCGACCCCCUUGGGGCUCCUUGAGCCCCAAGGCAAGGUCCCCUCCCUCCCACCUAUAUAUACGGAGGUUUUAGGGCUGAUUUGAGACGACUUUUCCACGGCAGCCCGACCACAUACCUCCACGGUUUUUCCUCUAGAUCGCGUUUCUGCCGAGCUCGGGCGGAGCCCUGCUGAGACAAGGUCAUCACCAACCUCCGGAGCGCCGUCACGCUGCCGGAGAACUCUUCUACCUCUCUGUCUCUCUUGCUGGAUCAAGAAGGCCGAGAUCAUCGUCGAGCUGUACGUGUGCUGAACGCGGAGGUGCCGUCCGUUCGGUACUAGAUCGUGGGACUGAUCGCGGGAUUGUUCGCGGGGCGGAUCGAGGGACGUGAGGANNNNNNNNNNNNNNNNNNNNNNNNNNNNNNNNNNNNNNNNNNNNNNNNNNNNNNNNNNNNNNNNNNNNNNNNNNNNNNNNNNNNNNNNNNNNNNNNNNNNGUAAAGCAGCGGCGCAAGCAACGGGAGAAGGAAGGAAGAACAGAUUGCUUGCGGGAUUCGCCGGCGAGUUCGGUCGGCGAGGGAGUCUGAUCGGUGGGGUGAUGGGGGUGAGGGAGCCCGUGGUGAUGGAGAUACCGGCGGAGGAGGGGGCGGCGGCGAGGGUGCCGUCGCGAAUCAGGAGGAGGCUGCUCGAGGGCAGGACCAGUGGCGGCGGCGGUCCGGCCAGCACUGAGGAAAUCGAGGCCAAGCUCAAGGAGGCCGACCACCGGAGGCAGGUAGGUGUCCCUGUCGGAUACCGUUCUUUUUCGUUUUUCCCCUUGUUCCUUCUCACGGUGGAUUGCCAAGUCGGGGGCGUGAACUGUGAAUUCGAAGUGUUAAGGACUGCCUUUUUUUUUCUAUAUACUACUCCCUCAGUCCGGAAAUACUUGUCCUGAAAAUGAAUAAAACUGAUGUAUCUAUAAUUAAAAUAAGUCUAGAUACAUUCAUUCAUUUUAGGACAAGUAUUUCGGGAUGGAAGGAGUAUUUGCUACAGUAUUAUCAUCGUUGGUAGUUCCCAUUCUUACUGGUGAAACGAUAGUUGCAUGUCCUGCUAUUGAAGUGCUAUAUGGGGGGGGGGGGGGGGGAGUGGUGCUGUUUUUGAAGAAUUUUACAGUAACUUUAGACUUGUGAAAGAAUCCUUUGGUUGAGCCUGUUCAUGGGGGAGUUGGAGUGACAUUUUUUGGGAAUUGUUUUGGCGGUAGGUAGUCGUGAUGACUCGUGAGCUGAAGUUGGUCCCACGGGACCCACGAAUUGCUUUUCUGUUGGAUUUUGCCGCGUUUUUUCCCCCUAGUUUGGGGGUUUCCGUCUUUGGAUUGCAGCGUUUUUCCCCCAUAUUGAAAAGGUCUCAAUUUUAUCUGUAGUUCGGUGAAAGCGUAAACAAAUUAAUUUAGUUGUCUGCAUCGGUUUAUACCGAGUUGCCAGGAAAAAAAAGACAAAUAAUUAAUCAAAUAAUAAAGGUGAAAUUAUUGUAAGUUCUAACUGCUUAGGUUAGCAAAAUUGAUUUCAGGUUGUUUGGUGGUAGGAAAAUUAUCCUAGUUUGGUAGGAUAGUUUGCUUUCAAUCAUCGACCACUUGGUUUUGCUUAGAAGUAACUUUACCACUGAAAUUUUAGCUGCAACUGCUGUAGUUCUGUUAGUUCAUGUAAUCCUGGUAGGAGCUGUAGAAACAACUAAAUAACUACAGUAUGUGUUUUUUUGGUUAAAAAGUACUCCCUCCGUCUCAAAAUAAGUGUCUCAACUUUAUACUAGCUCUAGUAUAAAGUUGUACUAGGCUUGAGACAGUUAUUUUGGGACGGAGGGAGUAAGUUUGAAGUGAAUUAGCGAUACAUGCUUGAUCAAAUUAACUCAUGUCAAUUGCCCCUCCGCAGCAAUUCUACGAUUGGUUAUCCUGCAAAGCAAGGAAGAAGCCACGGAGCCCAUCGUGGUCGUCUCAAGAGGAAGAUUACGGACAGUGCCUUGAAGCCAAGCUUCAGGCAGCUGAGGAGAAAAGGCUAAGCCUCUUGGCAAAGGCACAGAACCGGUUAGCCAAGUUGGAUGAACUCCGACAAGCAGCGAAGAAUGAUGUGGAAAUGCGAAUAGAGAAGGAGAAGGAAGAACUUGAGACUAGAGUCGAGACUCGUGUUCGACAGGCAGAGGAAAACCGCAUGCGCCUUCUGCAUGCAGAUAUGCAGAGGCGGGCCGCACUGAAGAAGAGAACAGAGAGGUCCCUGGUGCAGAAGGCGACAUCUGAGAGCAAGUAUACAGAGCGGAUGCGAUCUGCUAUCCUGGAAAAGCGUGCUGCUGCUGAGAAGAAACGUCUGGCGUUGUUAGAAGCUGAGAAGAGGAAAGCUCAGGCUCGGCUCAUGCAUAUUCAACAAGCAGCCAUGACUGUAAGCAGCCAGAGAGAAGCAGAGAGGAUUAAAUUGAAAGAACAUCUGGAAAGCAAACUUCAGAGGGUAUGUGCUGUCAUACAUACGCUGAUUACAAUUUAAUUUUCAUGUCNAUUUUCAUGUCCUGCUUCUUAUCUGAUUUGCUGUCUUCUUGGAACAGGCCGAGAGGAAGAGAGCUGAAUAUUUAAAGCAGCGAGGAAGUCCGUGCAGUUCUGCUCAUGCUGAUUACAUCAAGCAUGCAGAUUUUCUUUCAAGAAAGCUUGCAAGGUAUUAUUCUCAUACCUUAAAUUUUCUUUGAAUACUAAGUACUCCCUCUGCAAUCUAAUAUAAGAGUGUUUAGAUUACUAAAGUAGUGUUCUUAAUGCUCUUAUAUUAGUUUACGGAGGGAGUAGUAUUUGGUUGUAUUUGCACGUUCGAGUUAAUUGAAGUUUCUUGUCAUAUACUGUAGGUGCUGGAGAAGUUUCAUGAAGUCCAGGAAGACAACACUUGCCUUAGCUCAAGCUUAUGAUUCCUUGGGAAUUAAUGAAAAAUCUGUGAAGUCAAUGCCAUUUGAGGAAUUAGCUAUGUUGAUGGGAUCUCCUACAGCUCUUGAGCCUACUAAGGCAUUACUUGACCGAUUUGAGAGACGUUUGAUUCUUUGUCAGUCAGCAAGUUCAUCAUCUGCAGAAAAUAUUGGCCAUCUACUGAAACGCCUUGUGACUCCAAAGAGGAAGGCACCUCCGAGUAAAGACGGAAGAACAAGGGUUGCAGCAAAAAGGCCAGCGAGAACUUCUGAAACAAGCAGGUUGUCUAGAUAUUCAGUGAGGGUGGUACUCUGUGCUUACAUGAUACUGGCUCAUCCUAGUGCUGUUUUAAGUGGAGAUGGUGAGCAAGAGAAGCUACUCAUGGAGUCAGCAGCAAGCUUUGUCAGGGAGUUUGAGCUGUUGGUUAAGACAAUACUUGAGGGACCAGGAAGAGCUUCAAGGCAGCCAUCUCUUGAUGGUGCUGAAUCAUCUAGUUUCCAGAAGUCCUAUGAUAUUGCCGGUCAAAGUAGUAAAUUCAAGACUCAGUUGGUUAAUUUUGACAAAGCGUGGUGCACCUACCUUUACAGAUUUGUGGUGUGGAAAGUAAAAGAUACAAGAUCAUUGGAGGGUGAUCUUGUUAGGGCUGCAUGCAAGCUUGAGCUGUCAAUGAUGCAGACAUGCAAGUUAACUGCCGACGGGCGGUCACACAACCUCACGCAUGAUAUGAAGGCGAUUCAGAAACAGGUUUCUGAC
rnacentral:lncRNA from 1 species